rnacentral:rRNA from 1 species
UACGGGGGGAGCAAGCGUUGUUCGGAUUUACUGGGCGUAAAGGGCGCGUAGGCGGCGCAACAAGUCACUUGUGAAAUCUCCGGGCUUAACCCGGAGCGGCCAAGUGAUACUGUCGUGCUAGAGUGCGGAAGGGGCUACUGGAAUUCUCGGUGUAGCGGUGAAAUGCGUAGAUAUCGAGAGGAACACCUGCGGCGAAGGCGGGUAGCUGGACCGGUAUUGACGCUGAGGUGCGAAAGCGUGGGGAGCAAACAGG